rnacentral:rRNA from 1 species
UGGGGAAUAUUGCACAAUGGGGGAAACCCUGAUGCAGCGACGCCGCGUGAGCGAAGAAGGUUUUCGAAUCGUAAAGCUCUGUCCUAUGAGAAGAUAAUGACGGUAUCAUAGGAGGAAGCCCCGGCUAAAUACGUGCCAGCAGCCGCGGUAAUACGUAUGGGGCGAGCGUUGUCCGGAAUUAUUGGGCGUAAAGGGUACGUAGGCGGUCUAUUAAGUCAGGUGUGAAAGCGUGAGGCUUAACCUCAUUAAGCACUUGAAACUGAUAGACUUGAGUGAAGGAGAGGAAAGUGGAAUUCCUAGUGUAGCGGUGAAAUGCGUAGAUAUUAGGAGGAAUACCGGUGGCGAAGGCGACUUUCUGGACUUUUACUGACGCUGAGGUACGAAAGCGUGGGGAGCAAACAGG